ensembl:lncRNA
UGGUAGACACCUUCAUUCAUUCUUCUAAGAAGGCUGUUGAUCUGGUCCUCCCCAUUGUCAGCAUUUCCACCUUCUACAAAAUGGGUGGUCUUUUUCUUCAUUCCACCUUCUGGAUAGGAUAGUUUGGAGGGCCACAGGAAGUUAUUUGCUUAUUUGAAGCAUUUUCCAACAGUGUAGAUCUCAUGAAUCAGAUCCUCCAUGCAGAUGAUACCGUAUUUACCAAGAGAUUGAGCAGUCAAAGCGUUAUCUGUCAAAGCAAUUCGCUUCUUAUUGAUUUUGCCAUAACCACACUUAUAGAUUAGUUCAUUUACCGACUUCAGAUUUGGGUACCCACAUGCAAUAUAUGGUUCUACAAUCCACAGCAUGUUAAUUGAAGACUUGUUGAGCUUCACAAAGGUUCCACUGAAGAUUUGACGAAGGUAAAGAAGCUACAACACCUUUCAGACCUUUGGGCUCACACCAUUGAUACCUCUGAUUCUGAUGGCAAACGCCAGUUCUGCAGAGAACAGCGGAAGUCCCUGCCUCACCUGCUGACAGUGUCCAGGACUGGGAUGCCUCUGGUGUCCAGGUUUACAACCACUUCUUUAUCUUGUGAUCUUUCGAAAAGGAGGAAGAUUACUACGUCCAGAUUAUCGACUUGGAAGGCAUUCAGAGUCCUGGGGUUUAGAGGGCCAGUUUGGCAUGGGAUAUGUGGUAGUGGCCUGAGGCCUUGGGGCUGAAAGAGCCCAGGGUCUGAAAUCAUCAGAACUCUCUCCAGAUGAAUUGAAUCUGAGCUGGAAAGCAGCCUGUGACUCAUCGCGGGUAAGAAGCCGCAGUCUUGUUUAUAUGAUUGUAACCCCCGGCCAAGUGAAAGCAGAAUGACCCCUGUCACUUCUUUGGGGUCACACAGCUACUCAGGAGGGUGAGAGGAAAUGAUGUCUAUGAAGCACCUGCUAUGGGACAGGCAUUUUAUCUAAACCUGUCCCAUUUAAACCUGACAAUACACAGUGAGGGAGGUGUGAGUACCGUCCCUGUUUUGUAGAUGUGGCUCAAGGAAGAUAAAUGACACAUCUUAGGGGAGAGGUCUCUUGUCGUCACUCUCCCUAGACCAGAGAGAAUGAAUAAUCCCUUGGCACCCUCCUUUGUCAGCCCUCCUGCCUUAAAAAGUGUGUGUUAUUGAAGGGAAGGUGUCACGUCCACUCUGCUGUGUGUCUUUAGGAAAAUCCCCUUUCUUCUCUGGUCUAUUUCUGCUUCUGUAAAAUAAUGUCUUUGGUAUGAGGUCUCUUUGUGCUCAAGGAUUCUAUGUUUCAUGCCCACUUCUUACUGCUCACAUUCAUUUGCCCUAGCUCCAGAAUAGGCCAUAUCGUUUCCUGGAAAGUUCUGUCCAUUCCCAUGCUCCCAUGGACAACUGAGAGUGAGGAGGGAAGGUGAUUGGGAUAAGACCUUGAUAUCAUAGGAAAAAUGGUGAAUGACUUUGAAAUGGAUCGAAAAGAUGACUGGGUGUCUUCCUCAGAAAACGAGGUGUUUCUAUGAGGCCUCUGGGCCUUUUGUUGCCUUUGAACUGUUUCAGAACUGUAAGUUGUAGAUGACUGAGAGUGAUGCAAAUGGUUCUUGUCCAUAGAUAUGCAAAUACGUUUUCUGGUGGUAAUACAAUUGUCU